AACAGUCGAUAGUCCCUACGAGGGCUGA
rnacentral:sRNA from 1 species